rnacentral:rRNA from 1 species
GUGGGGAAUAUUGGACAAUGGGCGAAAGCCUGAUCCAGCCAUGCCGCGUGUGUGAAGAAGGUCUUCGGAUUGUAAAGCACUUUAAGUUGGGAGGAAGGGUAGUAACCUAAUACGUUGCUACUUUGACGUUACCGACAGAAUAAGCACCGGCUAACUUCGUGCCAGCAGCCGCGGUAAUACGAAGGGUGCAAGCGUUAAUCGGAAUUACUGGGCGUAAAGCGCGCGUAGGUGGUUCAGUAAGUUGGAGGUGAAAUCCCCGGGCUCAACCUGAGAACUGCCUCCAAAACUGCAUGACUAGAGUACGGUAGAGGGUAGUGGAAUUUCCUGUGUAGCGGUGAAAUGCGUAGAUAUAGGAAGGAACACCAGUGGCGAAGGCGACUACCUGGACUGAUACUGACACUGAGGUGCGAAAGCGUGGGGAGCAAACAGGAUUAGAUACCCCGGUAGUCC